AAAUUAUGUUCCUCUGACCCUCCUCGCUCUGCACAGAGCUUCAUCUUCUGGAACAGAUCCACCAAACGAGAGCCAGAAGAUGCAGCAGCCCAGGUCUAAUUUGUAUGCAGAGACCCUGGUCAGACAGGCAAAAUAUCUUUGUCCAAAAAACCUCAGAAUUGAAUAUCCAAACCCCUAUCUAGUUAGUGUGCUUCUUAGAAUACAAAUAGAAUUACAAAAUGUUUCAGUAAUCAAAAAGGGACAGCAUCGGCAAACAGUUGACAUCAAAAUUGUCUGCUCAUCAAAGAGGAAUGACAGAUCCUCCUUCAUCAACAUGUUUUCCUUAGGAAUGGUGCCAGGAUGCAGGGCAUAAGUGAGAGGACAGUUCCCUUGGUUAUGAGGUAACUAAAAAUAGCCACCUUUGAAAGCCAUCAGAGGUCACUUGUUUUGAAGAAAAUCAUCAGAAGAACUUUGAACUAUAAGAUAUUGACUAUUAAAUCAUGUUAUUUUCUUCAUUUGUCAAAGUUAUUGGGAUGUAGCAAAUACUUGAGACUUUGAAUUGAGUAGAUUUUGAGUAGAUUUAUGAAUGAAAUCAAAGGACACACAAAAACAGUGUAAUUCACCCAUCUGGAGACUCCACGUAUGAGUUUGAAAACUUUUAGUAUGUAUGCCAAUUAGUCCAUCCAGCCAAAUAGGCACAACAAUUUUCCGAUAAUAAGAAAAAUAAGACCAAGAAGCUAGCUGGAAUACUAAGAAAAACAACAGAGGGAGUUAAAUUCUUCAUUAAAAUUGACCACUUCUAGAGGCCUUGCAGGAAAUAUUAAAAUAAGUUCUUCAAUGAGAAUGAAAAUGAUAUAGGUCAGAAACUUGGAUCUGCAUGAAGAUACACCUUAAAAAAGGAAGAGCAUCAGAAAAAUGAAUAAGUGAAGGUCAAGUGCUGUGCUGUACUGAUUGAUAGAUUGUCUCCAGCAGGAAGUUUGACAAUGGACAACCUAGAAGCAGAUGUGCCUGAUAAAUGUAAAUGGUAGCUUCUUUGUGGCCCUUCCACCAGAAGUGAAGAAGCCUGGUGCAGAGCUUCUACUUGACCUAUGAUAGAUAUGCUGCUGGAGAAGAAAUCAACCUCCUGGUUCCCACCCAUAUCUUGCUCUGGUUAGUCACAAUCAGAAUCUUCACAACCACAAUCAGAAUCUUCCCACAGCCCUACCUGCAACACCUGCUUGUCUCUGCCAUUACAAUAUAAGGUAUGGUUUGAUUCUCUUAUGUACUGUGUUUGGUGCCCAUGCAGUCCCUCAUGAGUACCAGCUGAUUUUCUUCCGUGUGUGUAUAAACAAUAUCAUGUUCCUUUAAUUCAAAUAAUAAAAAGAUAUAUAAUCAGCACUGAAUCUUUGAGUCACAAGGUUUAACAUAGACUUAUCUGAAUUAUUCUACAUCCUUGUGACUUGGGAGGGGGACAUGUUUAUUACUUUUUCUUUUACAGCUUGAAAGUAUUCUUUUCAAGUGUUCAUUUUGUCCUGUGCAGCAAUCUCUAAUUCACUCCCUACCCAAAGUUGACUAGAAUACUUUAAUCUAUCAUGAUUAAUAUCAAGGAUUCUAUAAUUAAAACACCUCAUUUUGAUGGGUGGUUUCCUCACUUCCUAUCUGUGACGUUGGGCAAGUUACUUAACCUCUCUAAGCUUAUCUGAGCCUAUUUUAUAGCAUGCACCAAAAAGCUAUUACAUUAUGGCCAUUAUUUUUACUGUAGCUCAGCAUAGCUCUGAAGACUGUUAAACAUUUCACUUUUUAUAAUACUGUUUCUUAGACUUUAUUUGAAUAUAAAGUUUAUACCUUCAUUAGAAACAUUAUUAGAUCACUUUAUCAGUCUGCUUGGGCUGCCAUUAAAAACAUACCAUAGACUAGGUGGAUUAAACAACAGAACUUUAUUUCCUUACAGUUCUGGAGGCUGGAAGUCCAAGAUUAGGAUGUCAGCAGGAUUGAUUUAUUCUCAUGCCCUCCCUCCUUAGCAUGUAAAGACUGUCUUUUUGUGGUGUCUUCAUGUGGUCUUUCCUGUGAGUGUCUGUGUCUUAAUCUGCUCUUGUUAUAUGAAGACAAGCCAUAUUAGAAAAAGGCCGGUCCUAAUUACCGCAUUUAAGUGUAAUUACCUCUUUUAGGGCCCUGUCUCCAAAUACAGUCAUAUUCUGAGGUAUUGGGGGUUAGGACUUCAACAUAUCAAUUUUAGGGAGACACAAUUUAGCCCAAAACAAUCAGUAUCUCUGAAAUGUCUAAAUUCAGGAAUUUAAGAUUUUUUUUUUCAUUGAAUAGAAACAAAAUAAAACUAAACAUCAAUGACAAAGAGAGGCAGAGAGAAUAACUACUAAUGUAAAUGUAAUUUUUUUUUCUGCAUUGGCUUCCCUUGUCUCUUCUUUUCAGUGAAGUCAAUGAAGCCGUUGCCCUACAUUUACUUGUAUUAUACCACAGAAAACCUUCCCUUUGAACCCCAGAGCUUAUAUCAAGGCUAGUUUAACUUGAAUAUGACUAAUUUACCAUGUCUCUUAACAGCAGCUUUUACAAUCUGGCACCUGACCCAGAACCUAUUUCUGGAAGAUUUUAACCUAUGUGUAAACAGCACAUAACAGACACUUUCUCUAAGGCCUAUGAAGGAAUAUAUAAAUUGUUCCAUAUUAAUAAUGAUGAUGAUAAUAGCAAAUCCUUCUAUAGUGCUUUCUACAUGCCAGUCACUAUUCUAAGCACUUCACAGGUAUCUGCUCUUUAUUCCUUUUGUGGGCUUUAAAGUUCCUAUUGUUGAGAAAUGCAACAUUAAUUUUUGUACUGUCAAGAGAUUCCAGGAAGAGAAAUUUUAAAAUGCUGUGGCUUUUGUUGACUGUAUGACCAACCUCCUAUCAACUUAAGAAUAUCUUGCGGAAAAAUGUGAGGUUUUAUAAUUUAUUCAUGAGUUUUUAGUCACUUUUAAUUGGAGACAAUGAAGUGGUUAUACCAAAUAAAAGGCCUACAAAUUAAAUUUACAUUUUUCUAGUCAUUAUACUAAUAUAUGCUUAUCAAGUGCUAAACUUUUUAAAUCAUCUGCAGUAAAAUGCUUAGAGAGAGGAGGGUGAUAGUGCUAAAACUGGUUGAAAAUCUGACACAUAUUAGACAUUAAGGUAACAGACUUGUCCAAGGUCACAGAACUAAAACAUGGUGGAGCUCCCUAAUUCCAUGCUACAAUUUUAAGCUAUUGAUAAUAUCCUGCAAGUUGUUUUAUUACAUAUAAAUCCAAGUGGAGACACUUAGAGAAAUUGAUUAAAAGAAAAACUGUUGAGCAUAAUCAAACAGUACUGUUGAAAGGCUGUUUUAUUUUAUUUGCAGAGCAUUUUAUGUUAGCCACUAUCCUGUUAUAAGGACUUGUUCAUUGUGAGUAUGCGGCACUAUAGUAAUUGGUUAUAAAGAAGAAUGUAGAACAGCAGGUGUACAAUAGAAAUUGCUCUUUGUAGUUUAAAUAAAUUUCUAAGAGCUACCAUAUAUUUAAUUCUUAUUCCAUGAUAGGUACAAGGACUUAGAUUUCUUAAAUCUCAUGCAAAUAAGUACUUUUAAAACCAAUUUUCAGGCUGGACACAGUGGCUCACACCUGUAAUCCCAGCACUUUGGGAGACCUAAGUGGGAGGAUCAUCUGAGGUCAGGUGUUCAAGACCAGCCUGGCCAACAUGGUGAAACCUUAUCUCUACUAAAAAUACAAAAAUUAGCUGGGUGUGUUGGCAUGCACCUGUAAGCCCAGCUACUUGGGAGGCUGAGGCAGAAGAAUUGCUUGAACCUGGGAGGCAUAGGUUGCAGUGAGCCAAGAUUGUGCCACUGCACCCCAGCCUGGGCAACUGAGUAAGACUCUCACUCAAAAACAGAAACAAAAACCAAAGCAAACAAGAAAAAACAAUUUUCUAUGUCUAUGUUGGAUAAAUUUAAAUUUAUUUACUUUCAUAUCAAAACAAACACCUUAAUUUGGGACUAAUGUAAUAGUUUGUAAUUGAUUUUAACCUCCUCCAAAAGAUACUGUAAGAAUAACUCGUAUAUUAAUCAUCCUAAAAUAUAAAAUGUGGUGUCAUUUUCCAGUUUUUAAGAUUUCAUCGUCCUAGGAAUUCAAGUCCAGGCAGCACCGAAUGUCUCUUAACCUUAGUCCACUUAUCUUUCAUGCCUUGGGGCCCACUGUUUCACUUGGUUUCAAAAAAACAACCUGGCUCAGUGUAUUAUUGUAGAUUCCCUAGAGAAAUCCAUCUGCUUUUUCCUCUCUUUUUUCUCACAUGAUUGUCUUGCCUCACAGACCCUUCCAUCAUCUUCCAAGUGAGGAAACCUAUUGAGGUAUCAAGGGCCAACUUCAAUGAAAACUUCCCCGACUUCCUCUGAAUGGAUUUGAGCUCCUCUUCUAAAUUCCUCUAGCUCUUAGUUGUUAUAUGCUAAUAAUAUUGAUCACAUACUAAAGCAUCUCAUUACAUUUCAGUGCAGAAAUAAUCCUGCUUAUUAUCAUAUAGAUCCUAUCAUAUAGAUCUAUAGAUCAUUAAGCACUGUGUCUGUUACACAAAGGAAAUUUUUGAUAAAUAUUUCUGGGGAAAAGGCAAUCAGAAAAUGGGAAGUAAUAAAAGAAUGACAUUUGGUGCUGUGUCCUUCCUCUUAUUUCUAAAAUAAAAUACAUAAAAAUUUGGUUUUUGCUAACAUAACCAUCUGAAGUGAUAUGACAGGCCUUUGGCUAACUAUCUAAUGAUAUACUAGCAAUUCACAAAAAUUUGGGGAAAAUGAACAUAUAUUCACUAAUUCACAAGUAGUCACCCAUGCUAGAUUAGAAGAUGAAGAAUUGAGUAAAAAGUGGAACCUAUUUUAAUUAUGUUACAGCCUACUGAUAAAUAAAUAAUCCCAGUAUGGAGUGGUAAGUCCCAUAAUAAAUAUCUACAGAGAGGUCUCUGGAAGCACAAGGAAGGACCGUCUGGGUUUGACAGGGGAUAUUAGAAAAAGUUUCAAAGAACACAUGACAUUUGUUCAAAAUCUUGAAGGAUGGAGAUGAGUUUGCCAAGCAGAAAAGAAUAAAACAUUAUUUUAUCACUUGAGAAAGGGCCUGCCCAUAGUUGGUAAAUUCAGGAUGUGAUAUUUGGAGAGAGAGGAUAUUAUGGGGUGAGAAAGGAAGGGAGUAGCCAUGUUGGGGAGGAAUCAGAGAGCCAUGCUAACAAGUUUAACUUUAAUUGCAUGCAAGACUGACAGCCAUUAAAAGGUUUUAGGCAGGAAAGUGAUGUGAUCAGAGCUACAGUAUGCUGAAGAAUAAAUUAAUGUGAUGAGCCAAAAUCAGAUGCAGGGAGGUUACGGGACUGCAGCAAAGCUUCAGGGAAAGGCAGUAGUAAUAGGAUGUGCAGGAAAAAGUAAUGCAGAUUGCAGAAACUUAAAAUGGGUGAAAGAAAGAGAGAGAGGCAAAAGAUUGACUGUGGCUUACAGUUUUUGAUAAAUAAUAAUGCCAAAAAUCAAGAUCUGGAUUAAGAGGGAGAUCUAGUGUGAGGAAGAAAGAAAAUCAGUUAGCAUUGCAGGUUUUUAUCUGAUUCUGUAAAAUCAACAACUGUCCAGUAAGCAGUUAUAAAUAUUUUUCUGGCAUGAGUUGAGACUCAGCUAAAGAUAUAUAUUCCAAAACCAAUAGUUUAAGCGUGGAGGUAAAAACCUCCAUGCAUAGAGGUAUAUGAAAUUGGCUAUGGACAUUUUUGAGAGAGAAAAGGGCUAAGUAUAGAGUCCACAAAGAAGACUAAAAGGAAGGUUUUGAACUCAGCUGAAAACUAAGGAAAAAAUAUUGUCAUGAGAAAGAGUGAAGACAGUUUUAAAGAGAAUGUGCUAUGGUUUGGAUGUGGAUUGCCCUCAUCAAAAUUCAUGUUGAAAUUUGAUCCCCAAAAUGUCAGUGUUAGGAGGCAGGACCUAAUGGGAGGUAUUUGGUUCAUGUAGGUGGAUCCCUCAUGAAUAGAUUAAUGCUUUCUCCCAGGAGUGAGUUCUUUCUUUCAAGGGAAUGGAUUAGUUUCCACAAGAGCAGGUUGUUAAAAAGAGUUUGCUUCAUCUGUUUCUCUCUCUUGCUUUCUCUCUUGUCUUGCAAUCUCUGCACAUGCCUGCCCCUCUUCCAUUAUCUUCCAUGAGUGGAAUCAGCCUGAGGACCUCAACAGAUGCACCUGCCCAAUCUUAAACUUUCCAGCAAUCUGAAUUGUGAGCCAAAUAAUUUUUUUAUAAAUUAUCCAGCUUCAAGUAUUAUACCAACAAAAAAAAGGUAAGCAACAAAAAAUCAAGUGAGACAAAAAGUCUCCAUAGUUCUUGAUACCAUGAAACAUACAAAGGAAGAAUUAGGAAGAUACAAAGGGAAGACAAGGGCUUCAAGGACACUUUUACAGGAACUUUUCAGUGUAUGUGGAGGAUCUUCAUAUUUUCUUAUGCAACACAAGCCAAGUCUCCACGAUGUGCAUGAAAAAUUAUAAUAUAUCUCUAUUGUUGUUUUUUUUUGUGUUUAACUCAGUGAGCUAUAUAAAUUUUUUUCAUUUGAAGAUAAUAUUCUAUUUUUUUAAGCUGAAGAAACUUCAAACUACAACUUGUGAAAUGUUAUUACUUCAGUGAAACUCAUUUAUUCUUAUUAUUCCAUAUUUUUUUUUUUUUUUGGGACGGAGUCUAGCUCUGGCGCCAGGCUGGAGUGCAGUGGCAUGAUCUUGGCUCACUGCAACCUCCACCUCCUGGGUUCAAGUGAUUCUCCUGCCUCAGCCUCACAAGUAGCUGGGAUUACAGGUGUGCACCACCACACCCAGCUAAUUUUUGUAUUAUUAGUAGAGAUGGGGUUUCACCAUGUUGGCCAGGAUGGUCUCAAUCUCUUGACGUCGUGACCCACCUGCCUUAUCCUCCAAAAGUGCUGAGAUUAUAGGCAUGAGCCACAAGCCCAGCCGACAUUAUUUUUUAUAUCGUAAUUGCUCUCCAGAGCUUUAUACAAGGAAAUGCAAUGAGUCAAUAUACUUACUGAGAUUGCAGAAGAGACUGAACACUGCGCUAGGCUCUGAAGAGAAAGAUGAAAAAGAAGAAAGUGCUCCUGAGUAUAUGACUACUUGUACUUGCUAGCACUGAGGCAAGUACAAACUCUAGGCAUCAGGCUUUUGGUCUCACUCUUAGCGAAUUUGAACACUGGCUUUUUUGUUGGGCUUCCAUUCUUCUCUCAGCGCAAGAAUACCAACGUUUAUGACCCAGGAAGCACCAACUUAUACUUCACAGAGCUAAGAAACAGCAUUUCGCCAUGUCACGCAGGCUGGUCUUCAACUCCUGGACUCAAGCUAUCCACGGGCCUCGGCCUCCCAAAGUGCUAGGAUUACAGGCAUGAGCCACUAUGUCCGGCUUGGAGUUUUUAGUCUCAUCAAACCAACUCACCCAAAUGUCCCUUGGUGACAAAAAGUUUUCUGAAAGAUUAAGUAAUCUUUGUUUCCCAAGCCUGACAAAAUAAAAAGUUUUCUGUCUCUCUCUUUCUCUUUUGCACUGUUUCUCUUUAAGUCUUGUUAGAAUACAGAACUGUAGACAUUUAGACAGAGCCAGGGUCAUUGUCUUGACUGGCCCACUGACCAGAUUAGUAAUUCUUAAACUAGGGUCCCUAGACCAGCACCACAGGCAUCUGUGGGCUUGUUAGAAAUGCACAUCCUUGGACCACUGAAUCAGAUAUUUUGAGAGUGGGCUCAAUAAUCUCUGUUUUGAGAAGACCCCCAAGUAAACCUGAUGCACAGUAAUUGUUGAGAAACACUGAAUAAAUUGUAUACCAUUAGCCUGUUUUUAAAAAUCAUCUGAGCCAUUCCUUUAUUAUAUGAGAUGACCAUUAAAAUCUCACUCAGUUUUAUCAUAUAAUGAAACAUUUGGUGAUAGCAUAAAACUCUAUUUUGAUGGCUCAGUUUUUAUGAUUUCCUUUGAUAUAAUUGUUUCCUUAAGAAGGUGCCAGUUUUGAAAAGGAAACUGUUUUGUUCCCUUUUGUACAGCACAAGCUAAGGAUCUAUGAUGGAAUGAUAAUUAAUCUGUAAACUAUAAUUAUGUUGUCGAUUCUGGCUGUAUAUGGGGCAUACCUGAUUCAUCUGCUACUUGAUGUCCUGCAUGACCAUCACCAGACACCAAGCAGCAGAACAAGACCAUGGACCACAGAGUCCUGGAAAUGUCUACCUCCUGAGCUGAGCCACCACCAGGAAUGGUGUCAGUAAAUGCAUGAGCACCAGAGUAUUUUGAAUGAAAGGAAAAAAGUGCAAUUCAGGAUAUGACUCCCUACCCCAGCCUACUAGCAGAUCCCAAAUGUUGUCAUAAUCCAGUAAAAUAUAACACUACCAAGUUGUGAGGCACUGAGAAACCAUUGCAGGUGAUAGCCAACUGUGUGUUCCCAACUCUGAGCAGUUCUGCCUGUCAGAAUCUUCCCAUCUCAGUCCCCACCCACCUCUUCAGCCUCAUGUUUCCUCAAGCCUUUCUUCAGAUUGACCACACUUCACUUCUGUGUCUACGAGGAUUUGCCUUGUCACUAAAAUUGUUAUGUUACAAUAGGGCCCCAUAUCCAUUAGGUAAUUGGCUUUGUCAUCACCUUCACUUCUAGUUACUUUCUUGGAAUGUUAAAUGAAACAUUCUUGCCUUAAUAGUAACAUCAGUUCCUACAUAUCUUCCUUGUGUGUGUUUGGUUGGCUGAUUGUCACUUUCUACUCUGAAUGUUGAAUCAGACUGCCACUUUCUACUCUGAAUGUUGAAUCACCUUCUUGCUCUGCCCUCUACUUGCAUUUUCUUGUCUACUUACCUGUCCACUUAUCUUUUGAUCUUUUUGCCUCCCCUUCUUUGGGCAUCCCUGUCCUUCAGCUUGCCUGGAUAUGACUUCUAGCCUUGUGUGAUCUUGGAUAUGUGUGCGUAGCCCAAAGUUAUACCAUUCAACAGACUCCAAUGUCAUUAAAGGGAUCUUGUUCCACCAUGUAUUUUUCUGCCUUUUCCCCUAAAUUACCAAAAUUUUUGGCCUGUUAACAUUUCUGUCUCUGUAUACAGAUCAUAGUCCUUUAAUGUACUUUACUACAUGCAGAAAUUCUAUUGAUUUGGAUUCAAGUCUUUCAUAUUUGGCAUUGCUUUGCAAUUCACUUGCUCUUUUAUAGACCCAUUUUGACAGUUCUCAAGAAGGCUGGUGAAACAAGCCUGGCUGUGAUUUGGGCUGCAAUUCUUUCUUUCUCUCCGUGAGAAAUCUUUGUAGCACUGUAGUCAAAGCUGCAUACAGAAUUGUCUGACCAGCUGCUGUCCAUGGAUAGAGCCAAGGCACCAGGCUGACCUCAUACCUAAGAAGCAGUUAUUCAGAAGUUGUACAUGAUUAUCAAAGAUGGAAUUUAUCUCUACCUAGGGCUAAAAGUUUAGGCAGUUCUGUACUGAUUACUUUUUUCAGUCACAUCAAACUCAUCCUCAUACAGAAUAAAAUAAAAUAAGUUUUUCGUGUGCCUGUCUUGCUUUGGGAAAUGAAGAAAUGAGAGUAAGUAUCAUCUUGUUUAUGAAGAGCAAAUACUAUGAUUAAAAAUCAAGAUUAAAAACCUCACACUGUUCAGGACAACUGGAUCACAAGAAUAUUUUGGUUUCAAGUAUCACUGAAUUUUAUUAAUCUCUCUAAGAAAACUUUAUACAAAUAAUAAUUAAGCCUUGGAUUUGCUGAAUGGAUGUUGGAAAAUAGUAAGGUAAAGAGAGGCCAGCAAUCUCUUUUGAACUACUAGCCUUCUGGACCAGUGUGACUCUGCCUUUGAUGAGGAGUACAGGAGGAGGAGAAAGACUUUUAAGAAGAUUGAGCACUUGUCAUAAAACAAGACUGCUAGGGACAUACAUAGCAUGGUUGAAAAAAUGACUUUUGGAGUCUCACUAUGGUCUGUACUAGCGCUAACAACAAAUGAAAAUACAAUGUGGGCCAAUUUGUAAUGUUUAAUGUUCUAAUAGCCACAUUAAUAUAUGUGAAUAAUCUGAUAAAAUUAAUUUCAACAAUAUAUUUUAUUUACCCAAAUAUGGAUGAAAUUAUUAUCCAACAUAUAAUCAAUGUAAAAUGUUUUUAAUGAAAUACUUUCAUUUAAAAAAAUUUGAACUAAGUUUUUGAAAUCCAGUAUGCAUUUUAAACUUGCAGCACAUCUCAGUUCAGACUAACUAUAACUCAAGUACUCAAUAGCACCUGUAGCCAGGGGCUCCCCUAUUGAACAGUGUAAUUUUGGUCCCAUAGCAUCCUCCAUUGACCAAGCAAUGAAGAAAAAAGUCCAACUAUGGUCCAGGAAAAAUAUCCAGUGCUGGCUGUGUCUAUAUUCUAAUAGUGAAUGCAUAGGUCAUCAUACAUAGUACAUGAUAAGCACUAGGAAUUGGGAAGACAAUAGUUAACGUCAUAUCUCUAUUUUGCAAUAGAACUCUAUAAACAGACAUCUUGAUGUUACAAAUUUUCUAUGUGGUUGAUGAUGUAGUUAAGUUAGGAAAAGUAGAGCCAAGCCGUGCCUCCAGAGAUAAGUCUUUUAGUUAACUUGAUCCUCUGGAAAAACAUUCUCUAUGAUGAAAGCUCAAAUGGUUCUUGCCCAUGUCUAAUACAUUGUGAGGUUUGGCUCUAUGUCCCCACCCAAUCUCAUGUUGAAUUGUAAUCCCCAUGUAUUGGAGGAAGGGCCUGGUGGGAGGUGAUUGGAUCAUGGGAGCGGAUUUCCCCCUUGCUGUUCUUGUGAUGGUCAGUGAGUUCUCAUGAGAUCUGAUGGUUUAAAAAUGUGUAGCACUUCCCUGUUUGCUCCCUCACUCUCCUGCAACCAUGUGAAGAAUGUGCCUUGCUUUCCCUUUGCCUUCUGCCAUGAUUGUAAGUUUCCUCAGGCUUCCCAGCCAUGCUUCCUGUUAAGCCUAUGGAACUGUGACUCAAUUAAACCUCUUUUC
rnacentral:lncRNA from 1 species